CCAAAGGCUCUUUUAAGAGCCACCACUUCCUCGGGCGAAGGAGCUG
rfam:Anolis carolinensis chromosome 5, whole genome shotgun sequence.